CCUACGGGGGGCAGCAGUGAGGAAUAUUGGUCAAUGGGCGCAAGCCUGAACCAGCCAAGUCGCGUGAGGGAAGACGGCCCUACGGGUUGUAAACCUCUUUUGCCGGGGAGCAAGCCUGAGCUCGUGUGCCCAGGCGCAGAGUACCCGUAGACAAAGCCUCGGCAAACUCCGUGCCAGCAGCCGCGGUAAUACGGAGGAUGCGAGCGUUAUCCGGAUUUAUUGGGUUAAAAGGGUGCGUAGGCGGUUCGAUAAGUUAGAGGUGAAAUCCCGGGGCUAAACUCCGGCACUGCCUCUGAUACUGUCGGGCUAGAGUUUAGUUGCGGUAGGCGGAAUGUAUGGUGUAGCGGUGAAAUGCAUAGAGAUCAUACAGAACACCGAUUGCGAAGGCAGCUUACCAAACGACGACUGACGUUGAGGCACGAAAGCGUGGGGAGCAAACAGGAUUAGAUACCCCUUAGUC
rnacentral:rRNA from 1 species